rnacentral:tRNA from 1 species
CGAAAAAGAAUUGCAAGAACUGCUAAUUCAUGCACCCCACACUUAACAAUGUGGCUUUUUC